GACGAACGCUGGCGGCGUGCUUAACACAUGCAAGUCGAACGGAAAGGCCCUGCUUUGGUGGGGUGCUCGAGUGGCGAACGGGUGAGUAACACGUGAGUAACCUGCCCUUGACUUUGGGAUAACUUCAGGAAACUGGGGCUAAUACCGGAUAGGAGCUCCUGCUGCAUGGUGGGGGUGGGAAAGUUUCGGCGGUUGGGGAUGGACUCGCGGCUUAUCAGCUUGUUGGUGGGGUAGUGGCUUACCAAGGCUUUGACGGGUAGCGGGCCUGAGAGGGUGACCGGCCACAUUGGGACUGAGAUACGGCCCAGACUCAUACGGGAGGCAGCAGUGGGGAAUAUUGCACAAUGGGCGGAAGCCUGAUGCAGCAACGCCGCGUGCGGGAUGACGGCCUUCGGGUUGUAAACCGCUUUCGCCUGUGACGAAGCGUGAGUGACGGUAAUGGGUAAAGAAGCACCGGCUAACUACGUG
rnacentral:rRNA from 1 species